UGUUAAUGAGCAUGCAGCUGGCAAUGCAAUACCUGGCGAUGGGGAAACGGGGGAAGGCCUGGUUGGAGGGGGGUAUUGUCCCCAACCCAUUCCGCCAGGCCCCUUUCCAGAAACGACUCCCCCCCCCUUCCUUAGAAAAGCAACCUCAUCUCCAUACAAGAAAUCCUUAGGAAACUGUGUUCCGGCUGUGAUGGAGUUAAAUUUAUUAUGGCUGUUCUUUUUUCCCUCUACGUUCCAUCAAGAAUGUUUUACCACAGCGCUCUCUCCACACAGUCACCAACCUCCAAGUGGACCAUGUUAACAGCAGCAUUACACAGCCUGUCAAGGAGCAUGUGUUUCUUGUAAGAUGAUUUCUGGGCCCGCGAACCUUGGUAGGAAAUUGUUUAUCUCUCCCCCGCCCGCCCGCCCUUCCUCCUCAUUUCCUCACUGUACUUCCACUGCCUUUCCCAUCCACAGCCGAACGGGGAUGUCCAAUGUGGACGCUCAGGCAGAUGUUGUUUGUUCUUGCCUUCCACUCAAGGAGACCUUGCUCCCAGAAUGAAGGCUGAGGCAGACGUGCCUCUUGGAAAAGGGGCGAGGGUUGCUCGACUUCUCGAAGAAUUUGAACUUUUAUCCAUCGAGAACAGAUUCUGACCCAGGGCCAAAAUAUUUCUGCUGCUUCCAAGCCAUACGAUUCGAGGCGGGUUUUUUUGGGGGGUGGGGGUGGAAUUGAGAGUCCUGGUCAGGCAAAACAUCUGGAAGGAUUUGGGAAGAGGGUGGCUAGCGUUCAAUUAUAAGACAAUCAGUGACAUUUCUCCAUGGGGGUGGGUCGGAAAGCAGCGGCAUACCUACGGUCCCUUGCUCCCAUGGCAAGGAGCAGGAUCAGCAUAAUAGCCACAUUAGAGACCACUAUGUUUUACAUGACCCAAGUACUUGAACUGACCGGAGCAAGGGCAAGUCAAGGGGGCAGACUGCAGCCUUGCAAAGUGGCUCAAGGGCUGGUGUUGCUCUGGGAGUGAGGGCUGGGCUGGCUUGCGGUGGGCUCCUUUCACCCUCUGUGCCCCGCUGCCCCGGGCCUGGUUAAAGCACAUUCUGCUGCUGUACACUAUGCAUUCUGAUAGGUGAUUUUUGCAUGUCCUUGGAUCUGUGCCCCCAGCAGAGGCAGGUUUAACCAAUUCCUAGGUAUGCCUCUGUGGAAGCAUGGUUUUGCCCAGAUGUACAGCAAAGGUGAAGGGACCCCUGACCAUUAGGUCCAGUCGUGACCGAUUCUGGGGUUGUGGAGCUCAUCUCGCUUAGUAAUAAUAAUAAUAAUAAUAAUAAUAAUAAUAAUAAUAAUAAUUUUUAUUUAUACCCCGCCCUCCCCAGCCAAGGCCGGGCUCAGGGUGGCUAACAAGCAAUAAUAAAAAGAAGUUGAAUGAAUACAACUUAAAAACAAGAUUAAAAUACAACAUUAAAAUAUUGAAACAUUAAAAUAUUAAAAUGCAGCCUCAUCACAGGAGGAGAAAGGAAAAAUAAAACAGAAAGAGGGGGAGGGAAUAAAAUUGGCUCCAAGCCAAAGGCCAGGCGGAACAAUUCUGUCUUACAGGCCCUGCAGAAAGAAAUCAGAUCCUGCAGGGCCCUGGUCUCAUGAGGCAGAGUGUUCCACCAGGCCGGAGCCAGUGUUGAAAAGGCCCUGGCUCUGGUUGAGGCUGAUCUAACUUUCUUAGGGCCCGGGACCACUAGGGUGUUGCUAUUUAUGGACCUUGAGGCUCUCCGUGGGGCAUACCAGGAGAGGCGGUCCCGUAGGUACGAGGGUCCUAGACUGUGAAGGGCUUUAAAGGUCAAAACCAGCACCUUAAAUCUGACCCUGUACUCCACCGGGAGCCAGUGCAGCUGGAAAUGUUGCAUAUCAUAAGGUAAAGCAAAAGCUGUAGGUGAGUAUAAGGAACAUAAGAGCCCUGCUGGAUCAAGCCAGUGGCCCAUCUAGUCCACCAACCUGUUCUCACAGUGUCCAACUAGGAAAGUCAUACACAGGUCAAUCUAGUGUUGUGCCAAAAUCUGCCCUCUGGUUCCUUUAUCUUUUUUCUUCUCCUGCAAAAGAGGCUUCAUGUUUUGUUUCCUGCCUCAUUUUCAUUUCUCAAGGUGCUUUAGGAUUUUGGAGGGUGAGAGGAGGUUGAGCUUAUCAUUCUUUUCCAAGGUGGUUUGGGUGGUGUGGUUUUCUUUCCAGGAAACAUUUAUUCAGCCCUCGCCAUUGGUGACCCAUGCUUCCUAAACUGAAAUAGCUCCAUAGGAGGAGUCAACCUUGUCAUGUCACCACCCCCAGUUUUGUUGUGCAGGGAUCCAGGUUGGUUGCAGAGUGCGGACCAUUGGUGAGGUGGUUUGUAGAAUGAACAACUACCCCCAGCCACCUUAAAAGUAAAGUAAGUGCGACAAAAAACCAGUUUCCCCAACCUAUGAGAAUGUCACUAAAAAAAUUCUCUCCACUUUCGAGGGCGUUUUCUCAUCAGUGGGUGGAGAACAGUUGGGAACCACCCACCCACUAGAGAAAUCAUCAGCACAGGAAAUAAUUGAUAGUGUUACCAAAGUUGGGUGCCUCCUUCUCUCUCUGCUGAGCAUUGGCAAGAGUCUAUGGGGUUUCCAACACUCACCCAGGGUUUGUGUUUCCUUUGGAGAAUUGAGACAUGGCAGACACUGUCGUAGCUUUAAGAAAUAAGGUUUAUUCACUUUCAGUCUGCAUAGAGGGAAUCCAGAUCUUACAGCAUGGUCAUCUCAAGAGGGGCUUGUUCCCUUGUCCCCCACAGAGGUGCAGCCCUGAAGUCCAAGGCAUCUCUCCCAGCCAGCCUUCAGCCAGCCUGCCCAAGAUGGAUCCCAGUCUUUCUUCUUCCUCCUCCUCCUUCUCCCCAGCACACCUUGCUAAAAACUCUCUUUUCCUGUCACCUCACACCCAGUUACCCUCGCAACCUUCCACAUCUCAGGGCACCUCAGGGCAACUGGGGAGACAUUGCCUAUGGCACUCAGUGGCCCUGUAUUGUUUCUUAAUAGCCCUAACUUGGCCAGGUCUUUUGCAUAAGCUAGCUGUAGAAUUCCUCUGCAGCUUAUUUUCCCGCCUUCACAUCCCAAAUAAUCAAAAUCCUACCAUUUAUUAAUUUCUAGGGUUUAGGGGCCCCCCACCCCAAAUAUAUAACACCAGGAAGUUUGAGGGAAAUCAAACAACUGUGGAUGAGUUUCUAUAUAUUUCUAUAUAUUCCACUGCUUUGUUUGCACCUCACUCAUAUUCAGGGAAACUGAGGACAACCUCACACCAUUUUUGAGAUGCAAAAAUCACAGCAAAUUCUCUAUUUAAAACAUAAGAAGAGCUCUGCUACAUCUGGCCAAUGACCCAUCUCACAGUGACCAACCUGGUGCCCCAACUGGGAGAAGCUACCAAGCAGGACCUGAGUACAAGAGCCCUCUUCCCUUCUGUGGUUUUCAGCUACUGGUAUUCAUUGCUGUCUACAACUGUAGAGGCAGAGCAAGGCCAUAAUGUCUAGUAGCCAUUCAUAACCGUAUCCUGCUCCAUGAAUUUGUGCAAUCCACUUUUAAACUCAUCCAAGUUGGUGGCCAUUUUUGCCUCCUGUGGGAGUGAGUUCCACAGUUUAACCAUAUGCUUUCUUCCCUUCUGAAUCUCCCAGCAUUCAGCUUCAUAGUAUGUCCAUGAGUUCUGGUGUUAGGAGAGAGGGAGGUAACCACUUCUCUACUCACUUUCUCCAUGCCAUGCAUAAUUUUAUAAACUCCUAUCAUGCCAACGAUUACUCACCUUUUCUUUGUUUUUAAAAAGUCCCAGACGUAGCAAUUUCAGAUUGAUGCUCUUCCUCCUAUAAGCCCUUUGUUAUUGUUCAGGAAGCCAUUGUCCCCUUCCCCCACCUUCAUAUAAAUAAACCACCCCAAAUUUCCUAUAUUUUCCAAGCCAGCUCUUCACUUUCAUUUUGUUGAUGGGAUAGAAUGUUUAGUGUUCUGUUAAUGCAUCUCUCCCAUUUAUCACUGGGGUUCUUCCUCCUUUCCCCCACCCUCUCAAUGGUGUCUGUUCUCUGCUGGGACACGGUUGAGGCUCAGAGCCAAUGGGGUGAUGAGCCAGAGUUGCAUUCGUUCCACCAAGGUCCCCUGCUCCCUCUGUAGAACAUUUUUGCCUCUGAAGUCCAAGGAAAAGAAAAUCCCUUUAGGGAAUAAACUUUCCUCAAGUAUUGCUGAGUCAAAACAGAUCUAUACAUCUAUUGCAAACAUCUCAGUCAUGAGAGCAUAUGAGCAGAGGGUGGGACGUUUUUAGUCCUGGUGGGGCACAUACCAUCAUGGGGAGCUUUGCAGGGGUCCAGGCACAGUGGUGGGCAUGGCUGGAGGCAAGAGCAGUAGGGGAAGUAUUUAUUUAUUUGUUUGUUUGUUUUACUUCAUAACAUUUAUACACUAAAGGUAAAGGACCCCUGACAGUUAAAUCCAGUCAUGAACAACUCUGGGGUUGCGGCACUCAUCUCGCUUUAUUGGCCGAGGGAGCCAGCGUACAGCUUCCGGGUCAUGUGGCCAGCAUGACUAAGCCGCUUCUGGCGAAACCAGAGCAGCGCACGGAAACGCCGUUUACCUUCCCGCCGGAGUGGUACCUAUUUAUCUACUUGCACUUUGACGUGCUUUCGAACUGCUAGGUUGGCAGGAGCUGGGACCGAGCAACGGGAGCUCACCCCGUCACGGGGAUUCGAAUCACUGACCUUCCGAUCGGCAAGCUCUAGGCUCAGUGGUUUAGACCACAGCUCCACCCGCAAAAAGGCAGAACUCUAGAAGUAAUUCACAAAAAAGAUGAAAACAAUAAAAUAUCAAUAAGAAAAAUUAACAAUUUAAGUUUUUGAAAAUAAUAAUGAUAAUAAUAAUAAUAAUAAUAAUAAUAAUAAUAAUAAUAAUACUUUAUUUAUACCCGCCCAUCUGGCUGGGUUUCCCCAGCCACUCUGGGUGGCUCCCAACAGAACAUUAAAAACACAAUAAAAGAUCAAACAUUAAAAACUUCCCUAAACAAGGCUGCUAUCUGAUGUCUUCUAAACGUCAGCUACUGUAGUUGUUUAUUUCCUUGACAUCUGAUGGGAGGGCGUUCCACAGGGCAGGUGCCAAUACCGAGAAGGCCCUCUGCCCGGUUCCCUGCAACCUCACUUCUCGCAGUGAGGGAACUACCAGAAGGCUCUCGGAAAAGUAAAAAUAGCAAUGGACUAAAACAGAAUAAAAUUCUCAUCAACUUUCAAACAACCAGAUAGGCUUGCCUAAACAAGAAUGGAAGAGUACAGCAAAGGGGCCUGCUUGAUGUCACUAGGCAGGGAGUUCCAAAGUGCAGGUGCCACCAUAGUAAAAGAUUGAGUUCUUAUAAUUGCAGAGUGGGCAUUAUGUGGCAGCUGUGAAAGGGCCAGUUCUGCCGACCAAAGCAGUCAAUUGGAAGCCACAGAAGAGCAGAGUCUUGAUUGUGGGCUUCUUCCCAAUGGGGCACCUGGUUGGCCACUGUGAGGACACGAUGCUGGACCACUGACCAGAUCCAGCAGCCAGACAUUCUUAUGUGAAGACGGAGGUCAUUCCCCUCCCCCUCCCUGCUGCCUAUAAUGAGAGAGGGUUUUUUUCCCCCCUGCCAGAGUUCUGCAGGCAGAAGCGGAGAGCAGCUGGUGGGCUCUGGUGCGCAGAUGGGAGUGCAGAUGACUGCGCUCCAAUCUCAACUUUGAAACACUUCCAGCUUUCAUCGGAUGAUUCCACUCAGGGCUUGGCUCAGCUGACGAGAAGGGAUGGCCAAGGAAGCUGUCUGCAAAAAAAAAGAAAAGAGGGUAAGCAAUUGGAGUAUGUGCAGCCCUUGUUCAGUUCCCUAAUGCUACUCUGAGUAUGUUGGGGCCAUUAAAUAAUAGAGCCGGAAGGGUCCCCAGGGGUCAUCUAGUCCAAACCCUUGCAAGGCAGGAGUCACAUGGGGAGCAUGUGCAGCCCUCUUAAGCAAACAAGUCUGGCUUGGCAUCCACCUUUUCUCUCUCUUAAGACCUUUUCUGCUCAUUUUGUGUAAGUGCCCAUAAAACAGACUCUCUCUUUUUUGGGG